UGCAUUCGGAUGGUGCAAUGGUCAGCACAUCUGCCUAGCAAGCAGAAGACCUGGGUUCAAAUCUCAGUUCGGCAC